CCGGAGCUAACGCGUUAAGUCGACCGCCUGGGGAGUACGGCCGCAAGGUUAAAACUCAAAUGAAUUGACGGGGGCCCGCACAAGCGGUGGAGCAUGUGGUUUAAUUCGAUGCAACGCGAAGAACCUUACCUGGUCUUGACAUCCACAGAACUUUCCAGAGAUGGAUUGGUGCCUUCGGGAACUGUGAGACAGGUGCUGCAUGGCUGUCGUCAGCUCGUGUUGUGAAAUGUUGGGUUAAGUCCCGCAACGAGCGCAACCCUUAUCCUUUGUUGCCAGCGGUCCGGCCGGGAACUCAAAGGAGACUGCCAGUGAUAAACUGGAGGAAGGUG
rnacentral:rRNA from 1 species